AUUGAACGCUGGCGGCAGGCUUAACACAUGCAAGUCGAGCGGAGAGAGGUAGCUUGCUACUGAUCUUAGCGGCGGACGGGUGAGUAAUGCUUAGGAAUCUGCCUAUUAGUGGGGGACAACAUUUGGAAGGGAAGGCUAAUCCCGCAUAGCUCCUACGGGAGAAGCCAGGGGACUUUCGGACCUGCGUGUAAUAGAGGAGCGAAAGUCGGAUUAGCUAGUUGGUGGGGUAAAGGCCUACCAAGGCGACGAUCUGUAGCGGGUCUGAGAGGAUGUACCGCCACACUGGGACUGAGACACGGCCCAGACUCCUACGGGAGGCAGCAGUGGGGAAUAUUGGACAAUGGGCGGAAGCCUGAUCCAGCCAUGCCGCGUGUGUGAAGAAGGCCUUAUGGUUGUAAAGCACUUUAAGCGAGGAGGAGGCUACUUUAGUUAAUACCUAGAGAUAGUGGACGUUACUCGCAGAAUAAGCACCGGCUAACUCUGUGCCAGCCGCCGCUGUAACAC
rnacentral:rRNA from 1 species